UUGCGUAGGCCUUUGUUUCGA
rnacentral:miRNA from 1 species